UAGGCUUUGCUUCUCUUCUCUCUCUCUCUCAACCUUCUCUCCCUCUCUCAACCUCUCUCUGUGCAAACAAGAUUCUCUCCCUCUCUGUGGCUUCAUGAUGCAAAUGGAUAGAUUGUGCUUCAUACAAUAUCCAAACUUUCAAAUUCCAAGCUUCAAAAUUCGCCAUACCCAUCGAUUCAUCUCUUUCCCCAGAUGAGAAAAGCCCUAAUUUUGAUUUCAUAGAAAAAAAAUAAAAAUCAGCAGAUGGGUGCGAGCGAGAAGCUCGAUGGAAUCCUCCCCAUCCAGAAAUGUACUGAUUUUGGUACUCAAAAAUCUGAUGUCUAAGUUUAUUACUGGUGAAAGUAAAUUUGAACUGAAUCUGAUGCGUCUCCAAAAUCCGAUGUAUAAUUAGUAAUUACUGGAAUAUAAUUUUGAUCUUGGUGGGAAAAAAAUGGAAGGAGAUGUGAUUUCAGGAUUUGGGGACAGACACACCAAUAUGGAUAGGAAAGUGCUGCAGAGUUUCCAGAAGAGCUUUGUGAAUGUUCAAGACAUUUUGGAUCAGAACCGGCUGUUGAUCAACGAGAUCAAUCAGAACCAUGAGUCCAAUCAACCUGAAAACUUGAGUCGUAACGUUGGUCUGAUCAAAUAGCUCAAAACAACAAGAUUGAUGUUGUUGGAAUUGAUGAUGUGGAUAGAGACUAGUGCGGCAGCCAAAUUCCAUUGUUAUUAGCUGCAAUCUAAAGGCAAGUUUAUUACACUGAAAACACCAUUCUUCUGGUCUGCAAAGAUACCAAAUGGUAAAACUCCAGUUCGGUCCUGUUUUAGCUUCCUUGUGCACUCACUUGUGCCUUUUUGUACUCUCAUAUGUAAGUGAAUUUUUGUUUUUCUCAUUGCAAGACACCCUUGAGACUUUGUCCAUAUCAGUGAUAUUAAGAAGCUGUUCAAGGAUUUAGAUGGCAUAGCCAAAAGUUCUGCGAUUUUAGCUUCUAACACAAGUUCCAUCUCCAUCACUCGUCUUGCUUCCGCAACACAAAGACCUUGCCAGGUAAUAAGGAAGUUGUGUCUACAGAUAAAGCACCACCUGCUGUAGGACCAUACUCUCAGGCCAUCAAAUCCAACGGUUUCGUUUUCGUUUCAGCUGUUCUUGGACUUGUGCCUGAGGUUUUUUUCACGUCUUUUUAGAAUAAGUAGUCUUGAAUUUUGGUUUACCUUUUUGAUUAUAUAUUGUUCAUCUUCUAUGUUUGUUCUGGACACUGCUCGAGUACACGCUUUCAUCGCUUUCUUUUCCACAUAGAAACCAAGAGCUACUGGUGUUGGCUUACGCACACCAGCCUUGCAAAAAGAAGUGAUCAAAUCACUUACCACUCAAGUAAUUUCAAAGCUAAAAAACAGCCGCUGGAGAAAUGCUAUUAUUCAAGAGGAAUGCAUGUUGCUUGAGAUGACAUAUUUUGCUCAAAUGUUAUACAUGUCCACAGCCCCAGUAUCAAAUGGAAGACUUUCUUCUGCUUUAACUGGCUCAUUCUUCAAUCAAAUUUCCCGAACGAGAAAUAUAGACAUCCCGCAUCCAGUGAUGACUUCUUAACAAAAUUGUAUCAAAUCUGUUUUUCCCAUCAUAUUUUGAUAAGUCACUGGAUAUCACAAAGGGGUCGCAUGAGCCUCCAAAAAGAAUACCGACGGCACAACUUCCCGCAAACGUGGGCGCAAGUAGCUUGAGGAAUUUACACUCCCGACGAUCCUCACGUAUAUGUUCCCUGCAUUUUCUUUUUCAUUUUAAUUUCUUACGCUUUACCUUUCCAACACAUUAGUACGUACGUUAAAUUCAAAUGUCCUUCUACAUGGAUCCCCAUUAUACCAACUAUGAAUAAAGGGAAUAUUGACAGAA